rnacentral:rRNA from 1 species
UGGAUAAGGCAUGCAAGUCAAGGGGGCCCGCAAGGGCAACCGGCAGACGAGGUAGUAAUACGCAGGUACGCACCGAAAAGUCUGGCAUAGCCAGCCGAAAGGUUGGGUAAUUCCAGAUGGCACGGCGACGUUAAAGGGGCAACCCGCUUUUUGAGCGGCCUGCGGAGCAUCAGCUAGUUGGUACGGUAACGGCGUACCAAGGCUAUGACGCUUAGGGGACCUGAGAGGGUGACCCCCACCGAUGGGACUGAGAUACGGCCCAUACACCUACGGGUGGCUGCAGUCGAGAAUCUUCCGCAAUGGGCGAAAGCCUGACGGAGCGACGCCGCGUGAUUGAUGAAGUCCUUCGGGACGUAAAGAUC